rnacentral:rRNA from 1 species
CCUACGUGAGGCAGCAGUGGGGGAUAUUGCACAAUGGGGGGAACCCUGAUGCAGCGAAGCCGCGUGGGUGAAGGCGUCUUUCGGUAUGUAAAGCCCUAUCGGCAGGGAAGAAUUUAGACGGUACCUGACUACGAAGACCCGGCUAACUACGUGCCAGCAGCCGCGGUAAUACGUAGGGGGCACGCGUUAUCCGGAUUCCCUGGGUGUACAGGGAGCGUAGACGGCCAGGCAAGCCUGGAGUGAAAGCCCGGGGCCCAACCCCGGGACGGCACUGGGAACUGUCCGGCUGGAGUGCGGUGGAGGCAGGCGGAAUGCCUGGUGUAGCGGUGAAAUGCGUAGAUAUCAGGAGGAACACCGGCGGCGAAGGCGGCCUGCUGGACCGCGACUGACGUUGAGGCUCGAAAGCGUGGGGAGCGAACAGGAUUAGAUACCCCUGUAGUC